rfam:Triticum urartu cultivar G1812 contig234856, whole genome shotgun sequence.
GUACUACUCCCUCCGUUCCGAAUUUACUUGUCGCAAGUAUGGAUGUAUCUAGAUGUAUUUUAGUUCUAGAUACAUUCAUUUCUGCGACGAGUAAUUUGGAACGGAGGGAGUAUAAA